GAUGAACGCUGGCGGCGUGCUUAACACAUGCAAGUCGAACGGUGAACGAGGGAGCUUGCUCCCUCCGGAUCAGUGGCGAACGGGUGAGUAACACGUGAGCAAUCUGCCCUGGACUCUGGGAUAAGCGUUGGAAACGACGUCUAAUACCGGAUACGAGGCGUGGGGGCAUCCCCAACGCCUGGAAAGAACUUCGGUCCAGGAUGAGCUCGCGGCCUAUCAGCUAGUUGGUGAGGUAACGGCUCACCAAGGCGACGACGGGUAGCCGGCCUGAGAGGGUGACCGGCCACACUGGGACUGAGACACGGCCCAGACUCCUACGGGAGGCAGCAGUGGGGAAUAUUGCACAAUGGGCGAAAGCCUGAUGCAGCAACGCCGCGUGAGGGAUGACGGCCUUCGGGUUGUAAACCUCUUUUAGCAAGGAAGAAGCGAAAGUGACGGUACUUGCAGAAAAAGCGCCGGCUAACUACGUGCCAGCAGCCGCAGUAAUAC
rnacentral:rRNA from 1 species